AGUGAACGCUGGCGGUAGGCCUAACACAUGCAAGUCGAACGGCAGCACAGUAAGAGCUUGCUCUUACGGGUGGCGAGUGGCGGACGGGUGAGGAAUACAUCGGAAUCUACUUUUUCGUGGGGGAUAACGUAGGGAAACUUACGCUAAUACCGCAUACGACCUACGGGUGAAAGCAGGGGAUCUUCGGACCUUGCGCGAUUGAAUGAGCCGAUGUCGGAUUAGCUAGUUGGCGGGGUAAAGGCCCACCAAGGCGACGAUCCGUAGCUGGUCUGAGAGGAUGAUCAGCCACACUGGACCUGAGACACGGUCCAGACUCCUACGGGAGGCAGCAGUGGGAAUAUUGGACAAAGGGCGCAAGCCUGAUCCAGCCAUACCGCGUGGGUGAAGAAGGCCUUCGGGUUGUAAAGCCCUUUUGUUGGGAAAGAAAAGCAGCAGGUUAAUACCCCGCUGUUCUGACGGUACCCAAAGAAUAAGCACCGGCUAACUUCGUG
rnacentral:rRNA from 1 species